rnacentral:lncRNA from 1 species
GCCAAUCGGAAGUUAGCUGGUGGCGCUAUGCUUUACGACCCUGGGUGUGCUUUACGGACAAGCGCACGACAAUGACGUAGAGAGCAUAGCAACCACCCUGGGAGGGCCUAUGAGCCAUAACAACCAGUUGACCAAUCAACACAGGGCAAGCCCUCCAAGCCUGGAGGCACACCAAUCGUGAGCCUGUGCGUACCCCUAGACACUCCCCUUACGCUGCCCUAUAAGAUCUUUUGGGAGACCCAAGGAGCCGUCUUUUUCUAGCCGUCUGCCAUGGCGGGUGGGUGAAAGACCCGAGCUAACAUGGGGUUAGUUCGUUAAAUUACAAUAAAGCCUCAUGCAGUUUGCAUCAAGCUUUCGCCUCCAUUCUGUGUUUGGGGUGGCCGCCGUCCUGGACUAAGAUUCUGAAAGCCUCAGCUUUCUGAGGGUCUUACAUUUUGGGGGCUCGUCCUGGAUUUGCGACCACCCCUCACCUGAGUGGAGUCGAUCUUGGAGAGUGCUAGGUUUAAAUGCAUGUGCCGCCAUGCACCGGAUGAAGCUACAUUCUAAACAGCUACCCUCCCCCUUGACCUCCUGCAUGCUGAAAUAACAGCCAUGUGUACCAUGCCCCAUCUUGGAAGGGACUUAAAUGCUCAGUGCCAGGACAAGAGGUGCUAAGAUCAUUGAUGUGGGCCACCAUGCCUGCCUUCUCUACAAUGUUUCA